UGCAUGGUAGGAGAGCGUUCCGUAAGCCUGCGAAGGUGCACUGGAAAGUGUGCUGGAGGUAUCGGAAGUGCGAAUGCUGACAUGAGUAGCGAUAAAGGGGGUGAAAGGCCCCCUCGCCGUAAGCCCAAGGUUUCCUACGCAACGUUCAUCGGCGUAGGGUGAGUCGGCCCCUAAGGCGAGGCAGAAAUGCGUAGCUGAUGGGAAGCAGGUUAAUAUUCCUGCACCAUUGUUGAAUGCGAUGGGGGGACGGAUCGCGGAAGGUUGUCCGGGUGUUGGAAGUCCCGGUCCUUGCAUUGGAGAAGGCGCUUUGGCAAAUCCGGGCGCGG
rnacentral:rRNA from 1 species